GGUGGCUCAGUGGUAGAGUGCUUGCCUUGCAUGCAUGAAGCCCUGGGUUCCAUUCCACAGCACCA
rfam:Dipodomys ordii contig_42762, whole genome shotgun sequence.